UACGGGAGGCAGCAGUGGGGAAUAUUGCACAAUGGGCGCAAGCCUGAUGCAGCCAUGCCGCGUGUAUGAAGAAGGCCUUCGGGUUGUAAAGUACUUUCAGUCGUGAGGAAGGUGUUAAGGUUAAUAACCUUAGCAAUUGACGUUAGCGACAGAAGAAGCACCGGCUAACUCCGUGCCAGCAGCCGCGGUAAUACGGAGGGUGCGAGCGUUAAUCGGAAUUACUGGGCGUAAAGGGCACGCAGGCGGUUAAUUAAGUUGGAUGUGAAAUCCCCGGGCUUAACCUGGGAAUGGCAUUCAAGACUGGUUAGCUAGAGUCUUGUAGAGGGGGUAGAAUUCCAUGUGUAGCGGUGAAAUGCGUAGAGAUGUGGAGGAAUACCGGUGGCGAAGGCGGCCCCUGGGACAAAGACUGACGCUCAUGUGCGAAAGCGUGGGGAGCAAACAGGAUUGAUACC
rnacentral:rRNA from 1 species